rnacentral:misc_RNA from 1 species
GAUGAAGAACGCAGCGAAAUGCGAUAAGUAAUGCGAAUUGCAGAAUUUCCGUGAGUCAUCGAAUCUUUGAACGCACAUUGCGCCCCUUGGUAUCCCGAGGGGCAUGCCUGUUCGAGCGUCAUUUCACCACUCAAGCCUGGCUUGGUGUUGGGCGACGUCCUCUUUGGGGACGCGCCUCGAAACGCUCGGCGGCGUGGCACCGGCUUUAAGCGUAGCAGAAUCUUUCGCUUUGGAAGUCGGGGCCCCGUCUGCCGGAAGACCUGCUCGCAAGGUUGACCUCGGAUCAGGCAGGGAUACCCGCUGAACUUAAGCAUAUCAAUAAGCGGAGGA